UGGGGAAUAUUGGGCAAUGGGCGCAAGCCUGACCCAGCAACGCCGCGUGAAGGAAGAAGGCUUUCGGGUUGUAAACUUCUUUUGUGAGGGACGAAACAAAUGACGGUACCUCACGAAUAAGCCACGGCUAACUACGUGCC
rnacentral:rRNA from 1 species